rnacentral:rRNA from 1 species
UUGAAAGGGAAACGAUUGAAGUCAGUCAUGCUGGUGGGAAUCAACUUAGAGGAAACUCUGGGUGCACUUCUUCGUUUGGCAGGUUAGUGUCGAUUUUGGAUGUCAUAAAAUAAUUGGGGGAAGGUAGCUCCUUCGGGAGUGUUAUAGCCCUUGAUAGAUGUGAUGUUUGGGGUCGAGGAUUGCAACGGAUACCCUCUGGGGCUAGCCGCCUGAUCUCUAAUCGGUGUUGGGUUACGGAUAGCAUGCUGACCGUUUUCUAAUUACUGGUUAAAAGGUUAGAGCGUGCAUAAAUUCGUUAAGGAUGUUGACGUA